rnacentral:rRNA from 1 species
UGGGGAAUAUUGGACAAUGGGGGCAACCCUGAUCCAGCAAUGCCGCGUGUGUGAAGAAGGCCUGAGGGUUGUAAAGCACUUUCAGUGGGGAGGAGGAUUGCCAGGUUAAGAGCUAGGUAAUUGGACGUUACCCACAGAAGAAGCACCGGCUAACUCCGUGCCAGCAGCCGCGGUAAUACGGAGGGUGCGAGCGUUAAUCGGAAUUACUGGGCGUAAAGGGUGCGUAGGUGGUUAAUUAAGUUAUCUGUGAAAUCCCUGGGCUCAACCUGGGCAGGUCAGAUAAUACUGUUUAACUCGAGUAUGGGAGAGGGUAGUGGAAUUUCCGGUGUAGCGGUGAAAUGCGUAGAGAUCGGAAGGAACACCAGUGGCGAAGGCGGCUACCUGGCCUAAUACUGACACUGAGGCACGAAAGCGUGGGGAGCAAACA